GACGAACGCUGGCGGCGUGCCUAAUACAUGCAAGUAGAACGCAGUUGCGAACGGGUGAGUAACGCGUAGGUAACUGCCUCAUAGCGGGGGAUAACUAUUGGAAACGAUAGCUAAUACCGCAUACUGUGAGAUGGACCUGCGUUGUAUUAGCUAGUUGGUGAGGUAAAGGCUCACCAAGGCGACGAUACAUAGCCUACCUGAGAGGGGGAUCGGGCCAACUUGGACGUAUACACGGCCCAGACUCCUACCGGGGGCAGGAGUAGGGAAUCGUCGGCAAUUGACGGAAGGUUUACCGAGCCACGCCGCGUGAGGGAAGAAGGUUUUCGGAUCGUAAAGCGUUGGUUUUAGAGAAGCGGGAACCAACCAGAAAGGGACGGCUAACUACGUGCCAGCAGCCGCGGUAAUAC
rnacentral:rRNA from 1 species